rnacentral:lncRNA from 1 species
UGUCUAGCUGGAAGAAGAAAAAUGGCGGGGCCCAGGGAGAUGAGUCAGUGGAUAAAUCACUUGUCGUGAAUGUGUGAGGACCAGAGUUUAGAUCUGCAGAACCCACUUAAAAGUCAGGCGGUGUGGAUCCACCUGCAAUCCCAGCAGUCAGAGGCAGAUGGAAACUUCCUGGGACAAGCUGGUUAGCAAGACAAACAGGGUCUGCAAGAGACUCUGCGUCAAUAAAAUGAGAACAGGGAGAAGGCAUGGGACGUCAUUCAGGUCUCCGCGCCCAAACACACACAGGUAGCAAUCCUCUCCCGCACAUGUGUGCCACACAGUGAUGGCCACGUCUCAAAGGAAUAAGACAGAAAUUGAAAAAGGAAGGCAGCCAUAGUCCUCUGGCUUCUGCAUACCCAUGGCACCCCUGCCUACCAUAGUUGCCACCAAAUAAUUUAAUAUAUAAUGUAAUGGGAAACGUGCCUAGAUGAAUUCUUGGGUGGACUUCCCAGCGAUUAUAAACUUUUUUAUGUAUAUAAUUAAUUUUGUAAUUGUACAAAAAUCUAAACCACAGAAUAUGUACUAUUUACUAUUUUAACUUUCUUUUUCUUUCCUUUCUUUUGAGCCUCACUCAGGUAGCUCUCGCUGGCCUACGUCUGACGACUACACAGACUAGGCUGGCCUUGAACUUUACUGAUCCUCCUGCUCCUGUCUUUUGAGCCCUGGGAUCACACGCAGGUGCCAUCAUCCCCGACAUCAUCAGCAUCAGCAUCAAUUUUGAGACUGUUAUUUUAAGGCAGGGUCUCAAGUAGGCCAAGCUGACCGCAAACUUUCUAUGUAGCCGAGGUUGAGUGGUUGAGCUUCUGAACAUCCUGUAUGUGUGUUUAGGUGUCUGUGUGUAUGCACACAUGAGUACCGGGGCGCAAGCCAGAAGAGGAUGUCUGUCUGAUCCCGAGACAGGAGUCGGAAGCUGUGGUUACAGCUGUGAGCUACCUCGCUCAUGUGCUGGGAACCCAACCUAGUUCUCUACGAGAGCAGCAGGUGCUCUUCCCGGCUGAGCCAUCUUUGCAGCCCUUGUUUCAACGGCUUUAAAAUGUCCACUCAUAUUACUGUGCCACAGUCAACCACUACCCAUCUCCAUACUGAAGCACUGUGUCCUCUGAACACCUGCCAGUCCCUGGCAACCACUGAUCCACUUCCUGUCUCUGUGACUGCGGCCCUUCCAGGUGUGGACAUUUGAUGUGGUGCAGACUGGCUGUUACCCUGAACAAGUGUGACACCGAUCUGGUUUCUUUAUACAUUAGUGCUCACCUGCGUGAUGGCUGGCCGUGCACAGCCAACCGUGGUGCCGUUAGGACUGUCCCGGUGGGUUUUGCUCUUAUUAACUGUCACCACUGGGGAAAGCUGCUAUUCAGCUGAUGUUCUGACUCCCACCAUGGUCCCUGGCAUAGGAGAACGGAACAAAUUGGGGGUGCGAGCCUGAGCCUGGCUGCAUCCAUCAUCACCUUACCUGGAAGCUGAUUGGGAGUCACCGACUCAUCCAGACUCAUGAACGAGAAAACAAGAACAUCUCAUGCUUGUUCUUGCAGGCAGCUGGUUUGGGGGCUGUUUGUUAUGCAGCAUUAUUACGGCCAGCGUUGACUAAUGCACAGAACAAAUGACAGAAGCCAAAAGUAAAAGGAUAAGGGAAGGAGAGGCUGGUGUGCGACACAAACAGCAAGUGGUGGUUGAUGGUGCAGUUCACUCACAGGCUGGAAGAACAGCUGGAAAAGGAAUCUCCCCCACAUACAGACAGACACACAGACACAUAAACACAGACAUAUACAGACACACAUACACACAGACACAUUCACAGACACACACAGAUAUACACAUACACACACAGAUACAUAGACACAGACACACACAUACACACAGAGACACAAACACACAGACAUACAAACACAGAUACACACACACACACACACACACACACACACACAGUCAUACAGACACAUACAUACAUACACACACACACACAGAGUGAUGUUUGGCCCAGGAAGUGGCACUAUUUGGAGGUAUUGCCUUGUUGGACUAGGUGUGUCAUGUGGGCAUGGGCUUAAGACCUUUGUCCUAGCUGCCUGGAAACAUGUCUUCACCUAGUGACCUUCAGUUGCAGAUGUAGAACUCUCAGUUCCUCCUGCACUGUGCCUGCCUGGAUGCUGUCAUGCCCUCACCUUGAUGAUAAUGGACUGAACCUCUGAUACUGUAAGUCAGCCCCAAUUAAAUGUAUAAGACUUGCCUUGGGGGCUGGAGAGAUGGCUCAGAGGUUAAGAGCACCAACUGCUCUUCCAAAGGUCCUGAGUUCAAAUCCCA